GAUGAAGAACGUAGCGAAAUGCGAUAAGUAAUGUGAAUUGCAGAAUUCAGUGAAUCAUCGAAUCUUUGAACGCACAUUGCGCCCACUGGUAUUCCGGUGGGCAUGCCUGUUCGAGCGUCAUUGCUGCCCUCAAGCACGGCUUGUGUGUUGGGCCUCCGUCCUCCUCCCGGGGGACGGGCCCGAAAGGCAGCGGCGGCACCGCGUCCGGUCCUCGAGCGUAUGGGGCUUCGUCACCCGCUCUUGUAGGCCCGGCCGGCGCUUGCCGACACAUCAAUCUUUUUUCCAGGUUGACCUCGGAUCAGGUAGGGAUACCCGCUGAACUUAAGCAUAUCAAUAAGCGGAGGA
rnacentral:misc_RNA from 1 species